AGUAGAUGACGGACUCGCCCAGCACGGUGAAGAGCAGCCGGCUGCCGUCAGGGCUCCAGCACCCUGUCUGGGGACAGUGCCACCCUGUCACCUGCCUGUGGGACACUGCCACCCUGUCUGGAGCGUCUCAGACUGCAGAAAAGGAGGCUCAGGAGGGACUUUUCACUCCACAAGUCCCUGAUGGCAGGGGACAGCCAAGCAGGAGCAGGAGCAGGAGCUGGGGGGAUGUUUGGGAUCCAGAUUUUCUGCAGCGAGGAUGAGGAUGGGCACGAGGAGCUCACCGGAACACGGCCGAGGGCGUGGCUGCCAGCACCUUGCUGCCAUCGGGGGACCAGGCCAAGUAGGUGACACCGCCACCCCCAAACCACUGCAGCUGCACACAGGUCUCGGUGGACACGUCCCACACCUGCAGGGGACACGGGGGAUGAUGGCGACAGCGGGAUUAGGGGACACAGAGGGAACAUUUCAGGCCCAGGUGGCACUGUGCGUGUCCAGCCCGGGUGUCCCUGGGUGUCCCCAGAGGGUCCUCACCAGCAUGGCCGUGUCCACGGGUGACGCCGACAGCAGCCGCUCCCCGCUGGGCGCCCAGGCCAGGCUGGUGACAGGGCUGUGCCCGGGGCAGGACAGCACCUGGGCACAGCCUGACGAGGGCCUGCACAGGACAAGGGAGAAGCCAGCAGGAUUUGGGGUUUGCUGGCAGGAUGGCGGCGCUGUCCCAAAGCCAGCCCCAGCGGGGUGACAAUGGCCGGGAAGGGAAGGUGGGAGCUGUCACCUGGUGGAGAGGGAGGUGGGGUCCAGGUGCCACACGAGCACGCAGCUCUGGCAGGCCACGGCCAGGAUGGAGGCACAGAGAGGCUUCCAGGCCAUGGCAGCCACGUUCCUCUGCAGGCGGUGCUUCAGCGAGGGCACGGUGGCACUGCGGGGAGGGGACAGGUGACACAGCUGUGGGGCACAGAGCCCUGGUGCAGCCACAGUGUCCCCUGCCAGCCCUGAGCGCAGUGAGGGGGGACAGCAGGGUGGGAGGGGACAGGGAUUCCCAGCCAGGUGACACCGGAGCGAGCCAGGUGUCACACACCUGGUGUGACUGAGCCGAGGUGUCCCCAGUCCGGCCAGGGCCCAGCCUGGGGACACCCGGGGGGGCUGCAGGAGCAGCCGGCAGAGUCUUCUCCUGAGCAGGGACUGGCAUUCCCUGGGGGAGCAGGGAGACCUGGGGGACAGAGGACACUCAGCCCGUGUCCCCCCAGCUCUGUCACCACCCCCAGGGCUGGGUGACCCCCGGGAUGUCCCCAGAGGCACAGAGCAGGCAGGGAAAGGAAAGGCAAAGCUCUUGAGGCUCGGGGCAGAGCGAGGAAGGAGCAGGGGGGCUGAAUGAGAGCCCAGGUAUGCCAGGUGGGCCAGGAGGCCACGGGCAGCAGCCCCAGGGCAGUGCCAACCCCAGGCUGCCCAAAUCCCAGACAAAGUCCCACCUGUUGGAGUUGUAGACACGGAUGGAAUCGUCCAAAAGAGCCACAGCGAAUUUGUUGGUGUGGGGGUGCCAGGCGAAGGCCCUGAUGGUGCAGCCGGCCCUGGAGGGGGCACAGGGCAGGGUGAGACCCCCCCAGCACCCACUGGGCUGGCAAAGACCCUGCUCAGAGUUCUCAGAGAAAUAAAAACUUCCUUGUUGCUGCCCAA